AUGCCAUCGCCAUGGCCGAACGCGACGGGGCUGAGCACCGGCGCUAUUACGACAGGGGGCCAUGGUCUGCGAGCUCACAGGCCAGGGCGGCCAUGGCUACGAGCUCGAGGCAUGUUACUACAACUCCAGAUUUGCUUCCAUGUUUGCUUUUGCUGGAACCAGUGUACUAAUUUGUUACCAUCGUCUUUGUUUUUUGCUGGAACUAACCAAAUUUUGCUGCCAUGUCUUUUUGCUGGAAUCAUUUUUGUACCACUUUUUUGCUACAACAGUUUUGGUUUUUUGCUACUACCGGCACUGUCGUUUGUUACAUCCUUUUUCAUGAGAUUGUCGAGACCCUGUGCUUGUGUGUUUUGCUACAACCUUGUACUGUUUUUGCUACAACCUUCUACAUUUUUUGCUACUACUGGAGAAGCCCCUAGCUGGACCACAAGUUAUUUUUGCUACAACCGUUUUGUGGUUUGCUGCAACCAAUGUCAAUUUUUGCUACCACCGACUUCUUUGAUUUUUCUGGAACCAGCGCUCGAUUUUUUAUUUUUGCUACCACUAGCGUUUCGAUUUGCUGGAACAAGCUUCAAUUUUUGCUACCAUCAGGUUUUUGGUUUGUUGGAGUGUCGUCAAUUUUUUCUAAUUUUGCUACCAACGUUUUAUUAUUUGCUGGAACCGUCAAGAAUUUUUGCUACGGCCGGUGGAAUUUUUUGCUGCGACUGGCAAAUUAAGGAUGAGGAACAACACGAGCUCUACAACGGGUGCUGCGGCCGGUGA
rnacentral:rRNA from 1 species